AGCAGCCGCGGUAAUUCCAGCUCCAAUAGCGUAUAUUAAAGUUAUUGCAGUUAAAAAGCUCGUAGUUGAAUUUCGGGACCAAUAUGUCGGUCGUGCCUCGGUACGUACUGGUGUCAUUGGUCUCUCCCUUCUGAGGAUCCUUGAUGUCAUUAAUUUGGUGUCUUGGGGAAUCAGGACUGUUACCUUGAAAAAAUUAGAGUGUUUAAAGCAAGCAAUCGCUCGAAUACAUUAGCAUGGAAUAAUGAAAUAGGACGUUCGAACCUAUUUUGUUGGUUUCUAGGAUCGAUGUAAUGAUUAAUAGGGAUAGUUGGGGGCAUUAGUAUUCAAUUGUCAGAGGUGAAAUUCUUGGAUUUAUUGAAGACUAACUACUGCGAAAGCAUUUGCCAAGGAUGUUUUCAUUAAUCAAGAACGAAAGUUAGGGGAUCGAAGACGAUCAGAUACCGUCGUAGUCUUAACCAUAAACUAUGCCGACUAGGGAUCGGAUGAUGUUAAUUUUUAAUGACUCAUUUGGUGCCUUACG
rnacentral:rRNA from 1 species